AGUGAACGCUGGCGGCGUGCCUAAUACAUGCAAGUCGAACGAAGUGGCGCACGGGUGAGUAAUAUAUAGUUAAUCUGCCCUACACAGAGGAACAACAGUUGGAAACGACUGCUAAUACCUCAUAUUGUCGGAUGAGACUAUAUCGUAUCAGCUAGUUGGUAAGGUAAUGGCUUACCAAGGCUAUGACGCGUAACUGGUCUGAGAGGAUGAUCAGUCACAUUGGAAGUGAGACACGAGCCAGACUCCUUGGGGAGUCAGCAGUAGGGAAUAGUACGCAAUGGGCGUGAGCCAGAAGCAGCAACGCGGCGUAGAGGAUGACACUUUUCGGAGAGUAAACUCCUUUUAUCAGGAAAGCGGUACCUGAUGAAUAAGCACCGGCUAACUCCGUGCCAGCAGCCGCGGUAAUAC
rnacentral:rRNA from 1 species